GUGGGGAAUAUUGCACAAUGGGGGAAACCCUGAUGCAGCGACGCCGCGUGAGUGAAGAAGUAUUUCGGUAUGUAAAGCUCUAUCAGCAGGGAAGAAAAUGACGGUACCUGACUAAGAAGCCCCGGCUAACUACGUGCCAGCAGCCGCGGUAAUACGUAGGGGGCAAGCGUUAUCCGGAUUUACUGGGUGUAAAGGGAGCGUAGACGGCUUGGCAAGUCUGAUGUGAAAGGCAGGGGCUCAACUCCUGGACUGCAUUGGAAACUGCUUGGCUUGAGUGCCGGAGAGGUAAGCGGAAUUCCUAGUGUAGCGGUGAAAUGCGUAGAUAUUAGGAGGAACACCAGUGGCGAAGGCGGCUUACUGGACGGUAACUGACGUUGAGGCUCGAAAGCGUGGGGAGCAAACAGG
rnacentral:rRNA from 1 species